GUCUUGUAAGAAAGGAGAGAAGUUUAGCACUCCCCUUGACAAGGAUGGAAUGUU
rnacentral:snRNA from 1 species